rnacentral:rRNA from 1 species
UGACGGUACCUGACUAAGAAGCCCCGGCUAACUACGUGCCAGCAGCCGCGGUAAUACGUAGGGGGCAAGCGUUAUCCGGAUUUACUGGGUGUAAAGGGAGCGUAGACGGAAUGGCAAGUCUGGUGUGAAAGGCAUGGGCUCAACCUGUGGACUGCACUGGAAACUGUCGUUCUUGAGUGCCGGAGGGGUAAGCGGAAUUCCUAGUGUAGCGGUGAAAUGCGUAGAUAUUAGGAGGAACACCAGUGGCGAAGGCGGCUUACUGGACGGUAACUGACGUUGAGGCUCGAAAGCGUGGGGAGCAAACAGGAUUAGAUACCCUG